rnacentral:rRNA from 1 species
CAAAGAUUAAGCCAUGCAUGUCUGAGUGCAGCCUUCAAAAAUGGUGAAACCGCGAAUGGCUCAUUAAAUCAGUUAUGGUUCAUUAGGUUGUGAACGUAUACACGGUACUUGGAUAACUGUGGUAAUUCUAGAGCUAAUACAUGCAACAUGCGUUCGCUAGCGGGCAGGCGGUUCCAUCCGCGUGGUUCCGUCGCGCCUCUGGCGCUACGCGCAUUUAUUAGACAAACCGUGUGGCCGUGCGGGCUUCGGCACGCGCAGGUCGACUCAUGUACGGUGAUGAGCUCUGUUUAACCCAGCCGAUCGUUCAGGCUUCUAUGCCGGCGACGAUCCUUUCAAGUGUCUGCCCUAUCAACUUUCGAUGGCAGGUUAUGCGCCUACCAUGGUUGUAACGGGUAACGGGGAAUCAGGGUUCGAUUCCGGAGAGGGAGCCCGAGAAACGGCUACCACAUCCAAGGAAGGCAGCAGGCGCGCAAAUUACCCACUCUCGGAACGAGGAGGUAGUGACGAAAAAUAACAAUACGGGACUCUCUUGAGGCUCCGUAAUUGGAAUGAGUACACUGUAAAUCCUUUAACGAGGACCUACUGGAGGGCAAGUCUGGUGCCAGCAGCCGCGGUAAUUCCAGCUCCAGUGGCAUAUAUUAAAGUUGUUGCGGUUAAAAAGCUCGUAGUCGAAACAUUACGUUCAUGGGAACAGGUGCUAUGUACUGCACCGCCUCCCACGAUCGCUAAUACAGAUGGUCCGUCCGUUGUUCUCUUCAUUGGGAGCUUCGGGUGGCUAUCGCAUGUCACUUUGAUUAAAUUAAAGUGCUCAAAGCAGUCUUCGUGACUGCAUAUCAGUGCAUGGAAUGACGGAGCACGUUGCUGUUCUGUUUGUUGGUUUUCGAAAUAGCAAAAUGGUCGAGAGGGACAGCCGGGGGCACUCGUAUUGCGGCGUGAGAGGUGAAAUUCUUGGACCGUCGCAAGACGAACAACAGCGAAAGCAUUUGCCAAGAAUGUUUUCAUUGAUCAAGAACGAAAGUUAGAGGUUCGAAGGCGAUCAAAUACCGCCCUAGUUCUAACCAUAAACGAUGUCAACCAGCAAUCCGCCCGAGUUCUAUUAACGACUCGGCGGGCAGCCCCGGGAAACCAAAGUUUGGUUCCGGGGGAAGUAUGGUUGCAAAACUGAAACUUAANGNNNNNNNNNNNNNNGCACCACCAGGAGUGGAUCCUGCGGCUUAAUUUGACUCAACACGGGAAAACUUACCCGGCCCGGACACUGGGAGGAUUGACAGAUUGAUAGCUCUUUCUUGAUUCGGUGGAUGGUGGUGCAUGGCCGUUCUUAGUUGGUGGAGCGAUCUGUCUGGUUAAUUCCGAUAACGAACGAGACUCUAGCAUAUUAAAUAGAGGCGGGAAUCAUUUUGAGUGCAGCCCGCUCUCUUCUUAGAGGUACAAGGUGCUCUUAGCACCACGAAACGGAGCAAUAACAGGUCUGUGAUGCCCUGCGAUGUCCGGGGCCGCACGCGCGCUACACUGAAGGAGGCAGCGUGUCGAGUUCCUUGUCCUACGGGACUGGGCAACCCGAGGAACUUCCUUCAUGAUUGGGAUAGGGGCUUGCAAUUGUGCCCCUUCAACGAGGAAUUCCCAGUAAACACUAGUCAUCAGCUAGUGCUGAUUACGUCCCUGCCCUUUGUACACACCGCCCGUCGCUACUACCGAUUGAAUGGUUUANUGAGGCCUUCNUACCGGUCCUUUUGAGCGGCCUCCCGAGCUUAAGGACUGGAAAGAUANCCNAACUUGAUCAUUUNANGAAGUAAAAGUC